rnacentral:rRNA from 1 species
CCGCCGCUGGCGAUCCUGGUGCCCAGAGUCUUCGACUUCCCACCCGCCGCCGCCCGCACCAAGAUGUCGGUGCCGGCGUACGAUCUCAUGUUCGGGAAGCUCUCCCUGCGCGCCCUGUUCCACGACUACUUUCACCAGCCCGGGAAGGGGGUCGUCGACGCGGGCCUUCUCUUCAGGGCGCCCUUGAACGACACCCGCGUUGAUCUCGCCGCCACCGUAUCCAUUCAAUAUUACAUGGAUGUGGAUGAUCCGCAUAAUUUUGUGGAUAUUCUUGCGUCGACUUCGAAACGCAUGUUGCGACUGAGGUCAGCCGCUUACUAUCCUAGUAUUGGUAUUGGCGCCUUUGGGACGUUCCCUCUGCUUAUGGAAAACAGGGCGUCUUCAGAGGACUAUGGUGUCAUGGGUUUAAGAUAUGUUUCACGGAAUCUAUCAAUUGGAGCGUCCUUUUUGCCGUUUCCCUUUCCUGGUGAGGUACCAUAUGGUGCAUGGUUAGUUGGGAGAAAAGGGAAUUUCAGCGCAGGACUACAAUACAAGCCACUUAGUGGAAGCAACCAUGCUAUGCCUUUUACAGACUUGAAGAACUGGAAUUGUGCAAUCAGCUAUGGCAUGCGCUCAACUAGCCCACUCGACCCUUCAUUACUUUUUGCCCUCGAGCUUGUCAGAAAUACACAGCUGGUGGCAUCGGUCUAUCAACACCAUAUUCUUUUAAAACAAGAAAAUGAGCGUCGUGGCAAUGAUCGUAUUACCGGACGUUUAAGCUACCUUGAUUUUGGGCUUGAGCUAGCGACAAGGGUUAAUGAAGACAAACCAGUGGACAAUGCUGACAAAUCCAUGUUUCAGAUAGCUGGAAGUUGGCAACUUAAUGAAAACUUACUAGUAAAGGCAAAGGCAGGUCCUUCCAAAUCUUCUGCUGCUUUAGCAUUGAAGUUUAAACCCUUCUUUACAGCCAGUGUUACAGAAAAUAUA